UAUUACCGCAAUCUAUUACCAUGCAGUCGUACCAGUAACAGCGCUGCUAUACGGAUGCUGACGAGUGGCGAACGGGUGAGUAAUACAUCGGAACGUGCCCGAUCGUGGGGGAUAACGAGGCGAAAGCUUUGCUAAUACCGCAUAAGAUCUAUGGAUGAAAGCAGGGGACCGCAAGGCCUUGCGCGAACGGAGCGGCCGAUGGCAGAUUAGGUAGUUGGUGGGGUAAAGGCUUACCAAGCCUACGAUCUGUAGCUGGUCUGAGAGGACGACCAGCCACACUGGGACUGAGACACGGCCCAGACUCCUACGGGAGGCAGCAGUGGGGAAUUUUGGACAAUGGGCGCAAGCCUGAUCCAGCCAUGCCGCGUGCAGGAUGAAGGCCUUCGGGUUGUAAACUGCUUUUGUACGGAACGAAAAGCCUUCUUCUAAUACAGGAGGGUCAUGACGGUACCGUAAGAAUAAGCACCGGCUAACUACGUGCCAGCAGCCGCGGUAAUACGUAGGGUGCAAGCGUUAAUCGGAAUUACUGGGCGUAAAGCGUGCGCAGGCGGUAAUGUAAGACAGAUGUGAAAUCCCCGGGCUCAACCUGGGAACUGCAUUUGUGACUGCAUUGCUGGAGUGCGGCAGAGGGGGAUGGAAUUCCGCGUGUAGCAGUGAAAUGCGUAGAUAUGCGGAGGAACACCGAUGGCGAAGGCAAUCCCCUGGGCCUGCACUGACGCUCAUGCACGAAAGCGUGGGGAGCAAACAGGAUUAGAUACCCUGGUAGUCCACGCCCUAAACGAUGUCAACUGGUUGUUGGGUCUUCACUGACUCAGUAACGAAGCUAACGCGUGAAGUUGACCGCCUGGGGAGUACGGCCGCAAGGUUGAAACUCAAGGAAUUUGACGGGGACCCGCACAGCGGUGGAUGAUGUGGUUUAAUUCGAUGCAACGCGAAAAACCUUACCCACCUUUGACAUGUACGGGAAUCCUUUAGAGAUAGAGAGGUGCUCGAAAGAGAGCCGUAACCACAGGUGGCUGCAUGGCUGUCGUCAGCUCGUGUCGUGAAGAUGUUGGGUUAAGUCCGCACGAGCGCACCCUUGCAUUAGUGCUACGAAGGCACUCUAAUGGGAACUGCCGUGACACGAGAAAGUGGAUGACGUCAGGUCUCAUGGGCCUAUAUAUGUCUGCG
rnacentral:rRNA from 1 species